rnacentral:misc_RNA from 1 species
GAUGAAGAACGUAGCGAAAUGCGAUAAGUAAUGUGAAUUGCAGAAUUCAGUGAAUCAUCGAAUCUUUGAACGCACCUUGCGCCUUUUGGUAUUCCGAAAGGCACACCUGUUUGAGCGUCAUGAAUACCUCAAUCUCCAUCUUUUCUUCGGAUUGAUGGGUGACUUGGAUGUUGAGCCCUGCUGGUAUGCUAUAUCAGCUGGCUUUAAACUUAUUAGCCGGCUCUGUACUGGAUCGGUUUGACUCGACGUGAUAAUAUUAUCGUUGAGGAUGCAUGUCUCAUGCAGCCGGAAAGUAUCAAAGCAGCUUCUAGCUUGCCUUUAGUGCACUUUUACAUUUUAGACCUCAGAUCAGGUGGAACUACCCGCUGAACUUAAGCAUAUCAAUAAGCGGAGGA